GUGGCAGGUGAAAGCCAAUGGAAGAGGGGCAAGAGGAGCGGGUCGUUGUCAACCCUCUCCGAGGAGCUCUGCCGGAGUGGGCCCAGGGAGAGACUCGGAUAAAGAGUAACUUUCGGGCCGGGCGCGGUGGCUCAAGCCUGUAAUCCCAGCACUUUGGGAGGCCGAGGCGGGUGGAUCACGAGGUCGGCAGAUCGAGACCAACCUGGUCAACAUGGUGAAACCCCGUCUCUACUUAAAAUUACAAAAAAAAUUAGCUGGGCACAGUAGCGCGUGCCUGUAAUCCCAGCUACUCAGGAGGCUGAGGCAGGAGAAUUGCCUGAACCCAGGGGGCGGAGGUUGCGGUGAGCCGAGAUCGUGCCAUUGCACUCCAGCCUGGGUAACAAGAGCGAAACUCCGUCUCAAAAAAAAAAAAAAAAAAGAGUAACUUUCUCUUGGCACUCCUGCCCGAGGAAGCCUGAGAGAGCCCCAGCAGCAGAUACUCACCAGAAUGCUCACCCGGCUGAUCAUAAUGCCUUACGCAGUGCCCUCAGACAAGAGAGCCCAGACUGGACACUGGAACAAUAACAAAGUACUUGUGGUUCUCCAAACAAAAAUGAAGAGCACUUCUAAAAGAACGAUCUAUCUUCUCCUCUGCUGGAAAUGAGUGCCUUGGUCAGACACACUCUGGAGCUGGACAGCAGGGUUCAAAUCUGCUAGGUUUGCCACCUAGUGGUAUAAUCUUGAACAAGUCUCUUUACUUAUCUGGGGUCCUGGUUUUCCCUCUGUAAAAUGGGGAUGAAAAUAGUAUCCCCCUGCCACGAGUUGUGGUCAAGAUUAAAGGAGAUGGAGUCUUUAAAGCCCUUAGAAUAAUUAAGUGAAGAGUAUCACAAUAUGGCAUUUGAAGAGGAUAAGACAAAUGCCUCAUCUCAUUUUAUCCUCAGAACAAUCCUAUGAAAUAGAUCAGACAUCCUUAUUUUACAGGUAGAUAAGUGAACACUCCAUAAGAUUGUGACUUGCCUGGCCUCGUUUUGCUGGUAAAUGACACAGCCGAGAUUCAAGGCAAGGUUUCUGGAGUCAAAUUCUGCUUCCGUCAUGUGAUGGCUGCAAUCUCCAGUCUCAAAUCCCAUAGGGUUGGACAUUCCUGUGUGCUAAUUGGGAAUUUCUUCAGGGGCCUACAAGGUAACUGAGACUAGUGAGCUCCACUGAGCUUCAGGGGAAGAGGAUGUAAACAGCAGGGGUCAGCCCUUCCUGGAAACAGCCCUUGUGAUCUGGCAUCCUGGGAGUUUGCCCAGCUGGACUUGUGACACUUGUCCAGUACUGUGCCCUGUGCAGCACUUACAUCACUAUCCAUGUAUCCUCCUAAGUGUUCACCCUCCAGGGGCUCAACAGGAUGGAACCGUUACCAUCAGCCUCAGCAGCGUGACAGGCUUUUCUUGACUCUGCCACCUGGCUACACGCACCUUUCAAGCUGGUCAACUCCUUCCUGUUGCUGGAACUAUUAAGAAAUCUGCUGGAGUACCUUCAAGUGGGAGGAACUGAGAACAUACUGGAAUGAAGCUCAAGCCAUGUGGUGCAAGGCUGACAAGAAAUAAGCCCCUAAAGAGACCAGUGGUCAGUUAUGGUCAGUGGGAAUAAUGCGCAUCUUUGUGAAAAUAUUUUUGGCAAUUGUCUGUAUUCUUCUGUUUCUAUUUAUUCCCCCUCCUUCUUCCACCUAGAAAGGAAUCUCUCUUUUCACCUGGCUGUUUUUCUGUAACCUGGUUUCAAAAUUAAUAAUAAUAGUAGUAGUAACUACAAGGACUUAGCAAAUCCCAAACAUGAAGGCUGUAGUAUACACUCUUACAUUUACUCUACAAGGUAGGAGCUUUCUUCUCUCCAUUUCACUAAUGACACACUGAGACUAUGGGAGGUUAAAUAACUCACAUAAACAGAAACAAAGAGCAGAAUAAGAAUCAAAACCCAAUCCAGCUAAACUUUUGCCAGGCACUUUCCCUACUUGAUCUCAUAUCCUCAAGCCCAACUUAUGAGGUUGUUGUUAUUGGUCCCAUUGAAUAGAUGAGGAACUGAGGCUUAAUCACAGAGGUCAACUUUACCAAGGGCAGUUCUUAAAUUUUGCAUUCACAUCCAAAAUUUUGGCAUCCUCUUAACCUAUUUAUGUCUAGUGUUCCAUUAUUGGAAUGCUAAGCAUGUGGAAGUUAUUUACAUCCUACUUCUCAAGGCCAUUGCCAAGGUCUGAUUUUGCAAUUCAAAAAUUGCAACGUCCAGCACAAAUGGGUUAAAUCUCUUACCCCUAAGAGUCAGAAGCACAGGUUGCUUUUGUGCAUGCUAUUUUGUUCAUUGCUAAAGGCUAACUUCAGUUUCCACGGGUAUGAAUUUCCCCCAUUCACCUGCUUUAAUGGCCUGUGUUGCUUAUGCAGGAACCCAGUUGGGAAGAGGCAUUUCCCUUGUAUUCAGGACCAGAACCACCAUGAUGAUGCUCCAAAGAAAGUAUUACUGCAACGACUUCAUUCAGCCUGUGGUUUAAUACGCAUCAUAAAUCAUUAUCAUUUGGUCCUACUCCAUUGGCAUAGAGGCAAACUAGUCAAUCAGACAAGUUUUACUGCAUCCCACUGUGUGCCAAGCACGGUACCAGGGCUAAGUAUGCAGUGUGAACAAAGACAAAAGGCAAAUGAUCUCAAGGAACUUACAGUCUAGUGGGAAGACAGAUAUUAAGCAACUAAUUUUCAACAAUUAAUUCACUAAUUACAAGUGUCCACAGUGCUGCAGGGAGGCAAGGGUGUUUGGGGACUUCAUUUUAAAAGGUAAGUAACUCAGUCUAGAGAGUCAGUAAUAACUUUCCUCAGAAAAUGAUGUUUUGAAGGGCAUUUUUUUAAAGUGGGGAUCUCACUCUGUUGCCCAGGCUGGACUGCAGUGGCACAAUCAUGGCUCACCGAAGCCCCAACUUCCUGGGCUCAAGUAAUCUUCCCACCUCAGCCCACCAAGUAGUUGGGACCACAGGUGUAUGCCGCCACACCCAGCUAACUUUUUAUUUUGUAGAGACAGGAUAUCCCUGUGUUGCCCUGGCUGGUCUUGAGCUCCUGGGCUCAAGCAAUCCUCCCGCCUCAGCCUCCCACAGUGCUGGGAUUACAGGCAUGAGCACUGUGUCCUGCCAAAGUGAUGUUUAGGUCAAGACCUGAAGGCUGUCUGAUUUAAGCGGAAAAAGCGUGAGGGGCAGAGUAUUCUAGGCAUAGCAAACAGCAUAUGCAAAGGCAUUGAGGUGGGAGAGAAUAUGAAACUUCAUUUGUGAAUAACUAAAUCACUUUUAUUCCUUUAACCCUUAGUAGCCCAGGGAAAAUAGUUAUCAUCAUUUACCAUCUGAGUAUUUUUUUAAAUUUUUUUAUUACAUAAUUGAUCUGAAAUGAUUAUCUUUGGCUAUAAAGAUCAGUAACAAAAAUAACAACAUUUCAAGGUUAAACACUUCCUGGAAAGAUGUCCUUACAAAAAUAGGGACUUUAUACAAGGUUGUGGUUUUUAUAGUCUUUUAUUAUAGCUUCUAUGAUCAGACAUACAAAUAUAAAAACUCACUCCUCAUGGCCUCCCUCGGUUCUAUUUGUCAGAGAUUUCCUUCUUUUUUUUUUUUUUUUUUUUGAGACGGAGUUUCACUCUUGUUACCCAGGCUGGAGUGCAGUGGCGCGAUCUCGGCUCACCGCAACCUCUGCCUCCCAGGUUCAAGCAAUUCUCCUGUCUCAGCCUCCCGAGUAGCUGGGACUAUAGGCACACACCACCAUGCCCAGCUACUUUUUGUAUUUUUAGUAGAGACAGGGUUUCACCAUGUUGACCAGGAUGGUCUCGAUCUCUUGACCUCGUGAUCCACCCGCCUUGGCCUCCCAAAGUGCUCAGAUUAUAGGCAUGAGCCACCGCGCCCGGCCCAGGUUUUCUUAACAUUAGUGAUUCCAUUUUGAUUCUGACAACUUUCACAGUACAAAGAGAGGGUGCAUCAAGGUUUCAUAGUCUCUUUCUCUUCAAAAUGACUGUCUCUAGUAUAGCCGUUCUCUUUUCAUUUUCAUCUUUGCUAAUAGGAAACUAUAUGUAAAGAGUAGAAUUAGGGUCUUGUAAAAGGCUAGGAGACAAAUGGAAUUCACCACUUUGAAAGGAGGUUCUGUCUACAGUCACAAUACCUAAGAACAAACUGAAAAUCAAUUUCUUAAGUAUGACCUGGGAGAAAAUGGGAGGUAAAAUUCCAUCUUUCUUGACAUUUUUUUUUCUUGUAGAUAAAUCACAUGUGCCCCUAGUGAUCUGUGUGAUUAGAAAGUUUCUUACUAAGAACAGUUUUAAAAUUCAUCUCACCAUAUGGGUAUUUUUAAAUCCUUUUACAAAUAAUUUAUAGAAGUAGGAAUAAAGGGAUAGUAUAUUAGUUACCUAUUACUACACAACAAAUUACUCCCAAAACUUAGCAGCUUAAAACAGCAAACAUUUCUCAUCUCAUGGCAUCUGUGGCAAGAAUCUUGGAGUGGCUUAGUUUGGUGGUUCUGGCUUGGAGUUCCUCAUGAGGUUGCAGUCAGGGCCAGCUUCAUAGGCAGUAAACUGUAUAAUCACAAAAGGCUCCAUACUUGGCUUAAUACUCUGCUGUUGCUGUCUUGAUUUUUUCAGUAAUUUUUGAAAAAAAGAGUGCCCAUUUUUAUUUUGCACUGGAUCACAGCCUAAAAGUAUGUAGCCAGUGCUGGUUGCACCCAAACUGUCAGCCAGGAUUACAGUCAUCUAGGGCUGGAGGAUCUUCUUCCAAGCUCACUCACAUGGUCAUUAGGAGGCCUCCAUUCCUCUCCACAUGUGUCUCACAACAGGAUAGCUAGCUCCCUGACUGGCGGGAGUGGUGAUAGAGUGAGCCAACCUGUCUUUUACAACCUAAUCUCAAGAAUGUGUACCAUCAUGUCUUUGCCCGUUUUUGCUCUGUGACGAGUACCUGAGAUUGGAUCAUAUAAAAUGAGCAGAAAUUUAUUGGCUUACAGCUCUAGAGGCUGUGAAGUCCAAGAUCAAUGGGCUGGCAACGAGUGGGAACCUUCUGGAAUGUCAUCCCAUGGUGGAAAUAGAAUGGGCAAGAUUAGAGGGAGACAAACUCACCCUUUCAUAACUACAUAGUUAUGAAAUAUCAUAGUUAUGAAAAUACACAGUAUCAUAAUUGGGACCACAGGUGUAUGCCACCACACCCAGUUUUUUAUUUUGUAGAGACAUCCCUAUGAGGGGAGAGCCCUAAUGGCCUAAUCACUGCUUAAAGUUAAACUCUUCAUACUGUUUCCAUGGUGGUUAAAUUUUAAUAUGAGUCCUGAAGGAGACAAACAUUCAUACCAAGGCUCAUUACUUCUGCCAUAUAGUACCGGUCACACUGACCAACCCUGGUACAAUAUAGAAGGAGACUGCACAAGGUGUGAAUACCAGGAGGCUAGGAUCAUUUGGCACCAUCUUGGAGGCUGAUUACCACAGACAAUGAAAACUAGCUUUGUUAGAAAUAUUAAGAAGAAUUUAAAUAUAAUAAACCCAAAUUUUUAUUCAUUUUCCUACUUUUGAAGAUGUAUACCUGAGGCUGGGCACAGUGGCAGCUCACACCUGUAAUCUCAGCACUUUGGGAGGCUGAGGCAAGAGGAUCACCUGAGGCCAGGAGUUUAAGACUAGCCUGGGUUUACACUGUUGGUGGGAGUAUAAAUUAGUUCAACCAUUGUGGAAGACAGUGUGGCGAUUCCUCAAGGACCUAGAAAUAAAAAUUCCAUUUGACCCAGCAAUCCCAUUACUGGGUAUAUAUCCAAAGGAUUAUAAAUCAUUCUACUAUAAGGACACAUGCACACGAAUGUUCAUUGCAGCACUGUUUACAAUAGCAAAGACCUGGAACCAACCCAAAUGCCCAUUGGUAAUAGACUGGACAGGGAAAAUGUGGCACAUAUACACCAUGGAAUAUUAUGCAGCCAUAAAAAAUGAUGAGUUUGUGUCCUUUGUAGGGACACAGAUGAACCUGGAAACCAUCAUUCUCAGCAAACUGAUACAAGAACAGAAAAUCAAACACCACAUGUUCUCACUCAUAGGCGAGUGUUGAACAAUAAGA